rnacentral:rRNA from 1 species
AUUGAACGCUGGCGGCAUGCCUUACACAUGCAAGUCGAACGGCAGCACGGACUUCGGUCUGGUGGCGAGUGGCGAACGGGUGAGUAAUGUAUCGGAACGUAUCCUGUAAGUGGGGGAUAACCAGUCGAAAGAUUGGGUAAUACCGCAUACGCACGAGAGUGGAAAGUAGGGGAUCGCAAGACCUUACGUUAUAGGAGCGGCCGAUAUCUGAUUAGCUAGUUGGUGGGGUAAAGGCCUACCAAGGCGACGAUCAGUAGCUGGUCUGAGAGGACGACCAGCCACACUGGGACUGAGACACGGCCCAGACUCCUACGGGAGGCAGCAGUGGGGAAUAUUGCACAAUGGGCGAAAGCCUGAUGCAGCGACGCCGCGUGAGGGAUGACGGCCUUCGGGUUGUAAACCUCUUUCAGCAGGGAAGAAGCGAAAGUGACGGUACCUGCAGAAGAAGCACCGGCUAACUACGUG